GAACCAGCGGAGGGAUCAUUACCGAGUUUACAACUCCCAAACCCCUGUGAACAUACCUUACUGUUGCCUCGGCGGAUCAGCCCGCUCCCGGUAAAACGGGACGGCCCGCCAGAGGACCCCUAAACUCUGUUUCUAUAUGUAACUUCUGAGUAAAACCAUAAAUAAAUCAAAACUUUCAACAACGGAUCUCUUGGUUCUGGCAUCGAUGAAGAACGCAGCAAAAUGCGAUAAGUAAUGUGAAUUGCAGAAUUCAGUGAAUCAUCGAAUCUUUGAACGCACAUUGCGCCCGCCAGUAUUCUGGCGGGCAUGCCUGUUCGAGCGUCAUUUCAACCCUCAAGCCCUCGGGUUUGGUGUUGGGGAUCGGCGAGCCUUUCUGGCAAGCCGGCCCCGAAAUCUAGUGGCGGUCUCGCUGCAGCCUCCAUUGCGUAGUAGUAAAACCCUCGCAACUGGAACGCGGCGCGGCCAAGCCGUUAAACCCCCAACUUCUGAAUGUUGACCUCGGAUCAGGUAGGAAUACCCGCUGAACUUAAGCAUAUCAAUAAGCGGAGGA
rnacentral:rRNA from 1 species